rnacentral:rRNA from 1 species
UAGGGAAUCUUCCACAAUGGACGAAAGUCUGAUGGAGCAACGCCGCGUGAGUGAAGAAGAUCUUCGGAUCGUAAAGCUCUGUUGUUGGUGAAGAAGGAUAGAGGCAGUAACUGGUCUUUAUUUGACGGUAAUCAACCAGAAAGUCACGGCUAACUACGUGCCAG